GGCUUGGAAGCAGCCAUUCAUUUAAAGAGUGCGUAACAGCUCACUAGUCGAGCGAUCGGGCAUGGAUAAUAAUCGGGCAUCAAGCAUAUUACCGAAGCUAUGGAUUACGCCGCAAGGCGUACUGGUAGGGGAGCAUUCCAGUCUGCGUCGAAGGUGUGUUGUAAGACAUGCUGGAGCGUCUGGAAAAGCAAAUGUAGGCAUAAGUAACGAUAAUGCGGGUGAGAAACCCGCACACCGGAAGACCAAGGUUUCCUGAUCAACGCUAAUCGGAUCAGGGUUAGUCGGGGCCUAAGACAAACCCAAACGGGGUAGUCGAUGGACAACAUGUUAAUAUUCAUGUACCGGCUCAACUGCGAUGGGGUGGUGGAGUAGUGAAAGGUCUGCGUACUGACGGAAUAGUACGUUGAAGGGUGUAGAUAUAUUUGGAGUAGGCAAAUCCGCUUCGAAUGUCGAACCUGAUAGUACCGUGAGCCUUCGGGCAAGCGGAUAAUGACCCUAAUCAGACUCACAAGAAAAACCCCUAAGCUUCAGGUUGAAGCCGCCCGUACCGGAAACCGACACAGGUGGUCGAGGAGAGUAUCCAAAGGUGCUCGAGUGAAUCAUGGCUAAGGAACUAGGCAAAUUAGUCCUGUAACUUCGGGAAAAAGGACCCCCGCUAUGCGGGGCGCAGAGAAAUGGCCCAGGCGACUGUUUAUCAAAAACACAUGGCUUUGCUAAAUCGAAAGAUGACGUAUAAGGCCUGACACCUGCCCGGUGCUGGAAGGUUAAGAGGAGAGGUUAGUCGCAAGGCGAAGCUUUGAAUUGAAGCCCCAGUAAACGGCGGCCGUAACUAUAACGGUCCUAAGGUAGCGAAAUUCCUUGUCGGGUAAGUUCCGACCUGCACGAAUGGUGUAACGAUCUGGGCACUGUCUCAGCCAUGAGCUCGGUGAAAUUGUAGUUCCGGUGAAGAUGCCGGAUACCCGCAACGGGACGGAAAGACCCCGUGCACCUUCACUAUAACUUUGCAUUGACUGUGAAUAAACGAUGUGUAGGAUAGGUGGGAGAUUGUGAAGCGGAGGCGCCAGCUUUCGUGGAAUCAACCUUGAAAUACCACCCUUUGUUUAUUUGUAGCCUAAUCCCCAACGGGAGACAUUGCAUGGUGGGUAGUUUGACUGGGGUGGUCGCCUCCAAAAGAGUAACGGAGGCUUUCAAAGGUACCCUCAGUACGCUUGGUAACCGUACGUGGAGUGCAAUCGCACAAGGGUGCUUGACUGUGAGACCGACAAGUCGAGCAGGUACGAAAGUAGGAUAUAGUGAUCCGGUGGUUCCGCAUGGAAGGGCCAUCGCUCAAAGGAUAAAAGGUACUCCGGGGAUAACAGGCUGAUCUCCCCCAAGAGCUCAUAUCGACGGGGAGGUUUGGCACCUCGAUGUCGGCUCGUCACAUCCUGGGGCUGGAGAAGGUCCCAAGGGUUGGGCUGUUCGCCCAUUAAAGUGGCACGCGAGCUGGGUUCAGAACGUCGCAAGACAGUUCGGUCCCUAUCUGUUAUGGGCGUUUGAGAUUUGAGAAGAUCUGUUUCUAGUACGAGAGGACCGGAAUGGACUGACCUCUAGUGUACCAGUUAUGUCGCCAGAUGUACCGCUGGGUAGCUACGUUGGGAAUGGAUAAGCGCUGAAAGCAUCUAAGCACGAAACCAACUUCAAGAUGAGUUCUCAUAGGGUCGUCGAAGACUACGACGUUGAUAGGUCAUAGGUGUAAAGGUGGUAACAUCAAAGCCGAGUGAUACUAAUAACCCAUCAACUUUUUAAA
rnacentral:rRNA from 1 species